UCUCGGGCAAUGAGCGGAUAUCUCGGCGGGAGCGGGUGUAGUUGUCCACGACAGCGGAGAUGGCGGUGUUAUAGAGAGUCUCUGGGAUCCACUCUAGUUCUACGGCCGCCAUCUUCCUUCCCUCCUCCUCCGCCUCCUCCGCCUCCUCCUCCCGAAGGCCCCCGCCUCCCUCCGUAGCGAACUCCUUUGCGGCCCCGGAGGAUUUGGAGGGGCGGCGGUAGCCACGCCGGCACACGGCAGAAGGACACGGCCGCGCUGGCUACUCCAGGGGCGAGCAGGGGGACCGCGGCAGCUGACAGAGGCCUGGGUAAAAAGCAGGGCAGAGGGGAAGACAGACGCCGACCCAGGCCUCACAUUCCGGGUUUGGGAGAAACCCGGGAUCCGUCCGACUGCCGAUCUCUGCAGGGGCGGGACUGCGCGUGUGGCGUCAUGACGUCAACGCGCGCCAACACGCUGUGAGGACGGGAAUGCGGCCGGCAAGAAGCUUGGGGCAAAAAGAGUAGUGGUUCAUCCCAUCCGGAAGGCACUUUGUAGUAGUUGAGGCUGGUGUUUUUACGUAGACUCAAGUUAGGAAAGGGUUUUUGCCCACCCGUUCCAAGUCACUUAAGCGCAUCUGUUCCUUAAGCAAGUCCUGCUUUGGGGAGUUGUUAGACACGGACCCUUUUGAGGCUCAGUUUGCUGAUUCUUUCUUCUGCCUGUUCUAAACUGAGGCCCCCAGCCAACAGCUAGUGAGAAACCGAGGAGUCCUGCAAACUACCAUAACAAAGAAGACACCAGGUGUUCAACAGUCGAGAUAAGAAGAUCACUGAAAAACCUCCCUUUAUAACAAGCUAACCCACUGCCACACUGUGCAUGCUUCUCCCCUGAACAUAUCUAUGUUAUCUCUUU